AGAUUGAACGCUGGCGGCAUGCCUAACACAUGCAAGUCGAACGGGAGUAGCAAUACUCUAGUGGCGGACGGGUGAGGAAUACGUAGGAAUUUGCCCUUAAGUGGGGGAUAACCCGGGGAAACCCGGAUUAAUACCGCAUGACCUCGAAAGAGCAAAGUGGGGGAUCGCAAGACCUCACGCUUUUGGAGAAGCCUACGUCGGAUUAGCUAGUUGGUGAGGUAUGGCUCACCAAGGCGACGAUCCGUAACUGGUCUGAGAGGAUGACCAGUCACACCGGAACUGACGACUACCGGUCCGACUUCCCGACGGGAGCAGCGAGGUGGGAAUUGUGGACAGUGGGCACAAGCCGUAGACU
rnacentral:rRNA from 1 species